CGUCCUUAAAAUGUCUCCGGGCUUAAGUGUGUCACAGCCUUUUAGAGACUGAUUUAAGGGAGCGGAAUUACCACUGGUUAUUUACCAAUCAAAAGUUGCACUACAAGAGUCAGCCAAUCCUAAAUCCCUAGAUGCACUUCCGCAAAUUCCGACGGAAGUCUGAGUUGAGCUGGCCAGGGUCCAAUCAGAGCGAAGUAUUUCCAGCAUAAAUAGCAGCGGCGCUAGAGCACGACACCGGAAUUUUCCUCUACCGCAUUUGCAAUGGCCCGUACCAAGCAAACGGCUCGCAAGUCCACCGGCGGCAAGGCUCCGCGCAAGCAGCUGGCCACUAAGGCCGCCCGCAAGAGCGCCCCGGCCACCGGCGGCGUGAAGAAGCCCCACCGCUACCGUCCGGGCACCGUGGCUCUGCGCGAGAUCCGGCGCUACCAGAAGUCCACCGAGCUGCUGAUCCGCAAGCUGCCGUUCCAGCGCCUGGUGCGCGAGAUCGCUCAGGACUUCAAGACCGACCUUCGCUUCCAGAGCUCGGCCGUCAUGGCUCUGCAGGAAGCGAGCGAGGCCUACCUUGUGGGUCUGUUUGAGGACACCAACCUGUGCGCCAUCCACGCCAAGCGUGUGACCAUCAUGCCCAAGGACAUCCAGCUGGCUCGCCGUAUCCGCGGUGAAAGAGCUUAAAAAUUGAAACUUGAACCUGUGUCUGUAAUGUCAAGGUGAUAUGAAAAGACAGCAGAAGGAUUCAAAAAUGUCAAAGGCCUGAAGCAUUCUACCUGAGCCAGUCAUGUGACAACACCUAGACUACAGCAACUAAGCAAACAAAUCAUGGGCAGAUCAUGUAUCAAUAUUCCUUCCCACAAAGUGAAGUUUAACUGUGGUCUUAGAAUAAAGAAUAUGCAGUUCCCCUGUAAUCAUGACCCUAUCAGUGUUUUAUUACUGAAGAAUAAAAUGUUUAAAUUACCCAUGGGCUGGAGUCCAAAGGUUCCUUUGCUAUGUAAAACUACAAGACAACUUCAUCUGUUAACACAUCUUUUGUUAUCAUGGCAUUUUCCAUGACAUUAACCCUCAAUGAUGGGUAAGAAAAGAGAUAGUCCAUAAAUAGUCAACAGCUUUUUCUCACAGAAAUAGUAGCAAAAAUGCAAGAAAAUUCAAAAAUACCAUUUUGUUAUUUUCCUGCAUUUUCUAAUCCAUCUAUACACAGU